UCUGCCCCUACAGGCAUAGGAAGUGUGUCUUCUGUGUCACAUCAGUAGAUGUCAGAGAAGAGAGAGGCUAUGUCUACACUCAGGGUUCUGACUUGUGAACAUCUAAAUGAUUAGUAGCCUAAGACU